AACCUAUCAAACCCUCAGCUCUCUCACAUCUCAAACACAUAAACACAUGAGACUCACCCACUGACCUAUCUCUUCUCCCUCUCGCCAAAAUCCGACCACUGGAACUCCGUCUCCGACGACAUGUUGGUCCGACAAACACCCACCAGCAUCACCCCCCCCCACACACCUGGUUACCCUCUCUAAAUGAAACGGCUGGCCACCACCACCGUCUGGUGGCGGCGACACGGAGAGAGAGACUCAGAGAUAGACGAAGAGAGAGAGGGGAGAGAGUGGCGUAAGAGAGGGAGAGACCGAGGAGGGGUGACGGUGGAGGUUGAUGACGGCGGCAGCGCCGCCGUACACGGUGGCAGGUGACAUACGACGGUGAUGGAUGUACGAGCCUCUCCGAUUGGGCUAGGAAUCGGAAACGUCGAAGAGAAGAUAUUAAAAUGGAAAUUGGAUUGGAGAAAAGAGUUUAAUGAUACAGAUUUAGCAAGCCAAUGUACCCAUAGGUACAAAAUAUACAUUGAAGGAAACGCAUGGUGUAAAUGUGUAUAGCCGACGCUUGACAGUUUGUUUUCGGUAAUUUACGAAUUUGGUAGUAUUUAAAAAGCAAACAUCUGCGUUUCGCUUUUAUUGUUUUCAUUAUAUUGAGCCGUCAAUAAUGGAUGUUAAACCGUCAUUUAUGGAAUAGUUU